rnacentral:rRNA from 1 species
CCUACGGGAGGCAGCAGUGAGGAAUAUUGGUCAAUGGACGAGAGUCUGAACCAGCCAAGUAGCGUGAAGGAUGACUGCCCUAUGGGUUGUAAACUUCUUUUAUAUAGGAAUAAAACGAGGCACGUGUGCCUUUUUGUAUGUACUUUAUGAAUAAGGAUCGGCUAACUCCGUGCCAGCAGCCGCGGUAAUACGGAGGAUCCGAGCGUUAUCCGGAUUUAUUGGGUUUAAAGGGAGCGUAGAUGGGUUGUUAAGUCAGUUGUGAAAGUUUGCGGCUCAACCGUAAAAUUGCAAUUGAUACUGGCAGUCUUGAGGACAGUUGAGGUAGGCGGAAUUCGUGGUGUAGCGGUGAAAUGCUUAGAUAUCACGAAGAACCCCGAGUGCGAAGGCAGCUUACUAAACUGUGACUGACAUUGAUGCUCGAAAGUGUGGGUAUCAAACAGGAUUAGAUACCCUUGUAGUC